UACGUAGGGUGCAAGCGUUGUCCGGAAUUAUUGGGCGUAAAGAGCUCGUAGGCGGUCUGUCGCGUCGGCUGUGAAAACCCGGGGCUCAACCCCGGGCCUGCAGUCGAUACGGGCAGACUAGAGUGCGGUAGGGGAGACUGGAAUUCCUGGUGUAGCGGUGAAAUGCGCAGAUAUCAGGAGGAACACCGGUGGCGAAGGCGGGUCUCUGGGUCGUAACUGACGCUGAGGAGCGAAAGCGUGGGGAGCAAACAGG
rnacentral:rRNA from 1 species